rnacentral:tRNA from 1 species
GCCUCGGUGGUGUAGUUGGUCAAAACGCUCGCCUGUAAACAGGAGGGCGUGGGUUUUAAUCCCAGCCGAGGUA